CCCUCUCGGAAAAGGGAGACCAGCAUCCAAUACGAAAUAGCUGGAAUUAAUUAUUGGUCCAAACUUAGUUCUAUCAGUGGUCUUGUGUCUACAGGAAUACUGAAGUAGAGCCGAAUGCAUUUGAAUCGAAUCAUUCGGCCUUAACUUCCAAACUAAAAAUGUUUCCCGAGCAAUACCAAUUCUUGGCAUCGCCAGUUGGUGGUAAUUGUUAAGAUAGUGUACCGGAAGAUCCUUGUGAGCUAGAGCCACCACCCGCAGAUAGUGUACCGGAAGAUCAUUGUGAGCUAGUGUCACCAGCCGAUCCAGAUUCGAAUGCUCCAGAUGGGAAAUUUAAAGCUAAACUAAGUGGCAUAAGCUUCAAAGUUUUUACAGCUAUCAUGACUUCAAUCUUAGUGUCACCAAGAUCUUGCACCCUAUGCCCGAGCAACAUAAAUCAUGAAAACCCGAAAGAAAUCCAUGUAGAGACAGCAUCAGAGGAUCUAUCCCACAGUAGAACCACGGUCUAACAGGAGAGGUAGACAAACGCGCUAUCCCUGGCAUCAGCUGGGAUAGCUCACUGGGGUGGGAGGGUUCCAUGGCAUUCCGCUAGGAGCGCCACGCGCAGAAAAGGGCUAAUGCGAAAAGACAAAAAAAUAUAUCGUGCACCUCAGCAGUCAGCAAGCUUGGCUGCUUGGUCGCUCAAGCUGUCAACCGUGCUGUCAGGCUUCUUGACUAAUUAUUAUAAAUUAUUAUUCUGUCAGCAUCUGGUUUAUUUUAAAAUGGUGUCAAUAACUGCCAAAAAAAAUAACUGAUUUCAAUGUUCACUUUUACAUCAAUUGUAUUAUUCAUGUUGUAUUCAAUUUAAUUUGUGAUAUUCCUAUUUUAAUUUUUCAACUGUUCAAUAAAACCAAGAUUUGAAGCCUA